rnacentral:rRNA from 1 species
UUGGUAAACAAACAGUUCUUGAGUAGUAGAGCUUUGGCUUGAACAUCGACUCGGGGUGGCAGAUCUGGUUCGAAUUAGGGGAACGUGUUGUUAAUGGACAAUGCACCAGCAUCUUACUUUCGGGUAGUGGUCACUUCGCACACCGCCAUUUAAGGUCCUAGGAGGAAACCUCUGUGGGAAUUGCCUCUGUUAGGAGGGUCAUUUAGGUCAAGGCGUGGGUAAUCUCGGGAGGAACAGUGCGUUCCAGUGGAAGUUUAUUGAAAUAUAUUCCGAAAUUGAACUUAAAAGUAAGUUCCAUUCAAAAAAGGGGGCUGAAUCCGUACAUUGGGUUGU